rnacentral:rRNA from 1 species
UACGGGGGGGGCAAGCGUUGUUCGGAAUCACUGGGCGUAAGGGUGCGUAGGCGGGUCUUUAAGUCAGGGGUGAAAUCCUGGAGCUCAACUCCAGAACUGCCUUUGAUACUGAAGAUCUUGAGUUCGGGAGAGGUGAGUGGAACUGCGAGUGUAGAGGUGAAAUUCGUAGAUAUUCGCAAGAACACCAGUGGCGAAGGCGGCUCACUGGCCCGAUACUGACGCUGAGGCACGAAAGCGUGGGGAGCAAACAGG